GAUGACCCUUGACACGAUGACUGUACAUGCUUUUUCAUAAUGGUAAACUGGGAUGAUGGUUUUAUGCCUGUGUGACCUCAGAUGUGAAAAUUGGAUAUAUGUCCCUUGAUUACUCGAAAUUGUUGGCCUGAAUGCAAUUUCCUUGUUAACUGUUGGAUAUAUGUCCCUUGAUGACUCGAAAUAGUGUAUAUGUCCAUCGUUGUCCCUGGAUGUCCCUAAAUUGAUGCUCUGAAUGAAUGCAAUUCAAUGUCCCUAAAUUGAAGCUCUGAAUUAAUGCAANNNNNNNNNNNNNAUUAUUGAUGCUCUGAAUGUAUGCAAUUCGAUGUUCCUAAAUUGAUACUCUAAAUGAAUGCAAUUCGAUGUGAAUGCUUAGUCAUAACUUGAAAGUGGAGAUGACCCUUGACACGAUGACUAUACAUAUGCUUUUUCAUAAUGGUAAACUGGGACGAUGGUUUUAUUCCUGUGUGACCUCAGAUGUGAAAAUUGGAUAUAAAUUAUAUAAUAUGUCCCUUAAUGACUCUAAAUUGUUGGCCUGAAUGCAAUUUCCUUUUUAAUUGUUGGAUAUAUGUCCCUUGUUGACUCGAAAUAGUGUAUAUGUCCAUCGUUGUCUCUAAAUUAAUAUAUGUCGCUUUAUGUCCCUAAAUUCAAUAUGUGUCCUUGGAUGUCCUUAAAUUGAUGCUCUGAAUGAAUGCAAUUCGAUGUUCCUAAAUUGAUGCUCUAAAUGAAUGCAAUUCGAUGUGAAUGCUUAGCCAUAACUUGAAAGUGGAGAUGACCCUUAACACGAUAACUGUACAUGUUUUUUCAUAAUGGUAAACUGGGAUGAUGGUUUUAUGCCUGUGUGAUCUCAGAUGUGAAAAUUGGAUAUAAUAUGUCCCUUGAUGACUCUAAAUUGUUGGCUUGAAUGUAAUUUCCUUAUUAAUUGUUGGAUAUAUGUCCCUUGAUGACUCGAAAUAGUGUAUAUGUCCAUCGUUGUCCCUAAAUUAGUAUAUGUCCCUUUAUGUCCC
rnacentral:lncRNA from 1 species